AGGACAAACGCUGGCGGCGUGCCUAAGACAUGCAAGUCGGACGGGGGCUUCGGCCUCGAGUGGCGGACGGGUGAGGAGCGCGUGGAGAACCUGCCCCGGGAUGGGGGAUACCAGCCAGAAAUGGCUGCUAAUACCGCAUACGAUUGCCGGCUGGUAAGGCUGGUAAGGAAAGCCGCAAGGCGUCCUGGGAGGGUCCGCGUCGGAUUAGCUCGUUGGUGGGGUAACGGCCUACCAAGGCGACGAUCCGUAGCUGGUCUGAGAGGACGGCCAGCCACACUGGGACUGAGACACGGCCCAGACUCCUACGGGAGGCAGCAGUUAGGGAAUUUGACAAUGGGCGCAAGCCUGAUCGAGUGACGCCGCGUGUGGGAUGACGCCUUUCGGGGUGUAAACCACUUUCUUGGGGACGAGCAAGGACGGUACCCGAGGAAUAAGCCUCGGCUAACUACGCGCCAGCAGCCGC
rnacentral:rRNA from 1 species